rnacentral:rRNA from 1 species
AAAUUGAAGAGUUUGAUCAUGGCUCAGAUUGAACGCUGGCGGCAGGCCUAACACAUGCAAGUCGAACGGUAACAGGAAGCAGCUUGCUGCUUCGCUGACGAGUGGCGGACGGGUGAGUAAUGUCUGGGAAACUGCCUGAUGGAGGGGGAUAACUACUGGAAACGGUAGCUAAUACCGCAUAACGUCGCAAGACCAAAGAGGGGGACCUUCGGGCCUCUUGCCAUCGGAUGUGCCCAGAUGGGAUUAGCUUGUUGGUGGGGUAACGGCUCACCAAGGCGACGAUCCCUAGCUGGUCUGAGAGGAUGACCAGCCACACUGGAACUGAGACACGGUCCAGACUCCUACGGGAGGCAGCAGUGGGGAAUAUUGCACAAUGGGCGCAAGCCUGAUGCAGCCAUGCCGCGUGUAUGAAGAAGGCCUUCGGGUUGUAAAGUACUUUCAGCGGGGAGGAAGGGAGUAAAGUUAAUACCUUUACUCAUUGACGUUACCCGCAGAAGAAGCACCGGCUAACUCCGUGCCAGCAGCCGCGGUAAUACGGAGGGUGCAAGCGUUAAUCGGAAUUACUGGGCGUAAAGCGCACGCAGGCGGUUUGUUAAGUCAGAUGUGAAAUCCCCGGGCUCAACCUGGGAACUGCAUCUGAUACUGGCAAGCUUGAGUCUCGUAGAGGGGGGUAGAAUUCCAGGUGUAGCGGUGAAAUGCGUAGAGAUCUGGAGGAAUACCGGUGGCGAAGGCGGCCCCCUGGACGAAGACUGACGCUCAGGUGCGAAAGCGUGGGGAGCAAACAGGAUUAGAUACCCUGGUAGUCCACGCCGUAAACGAUGUCGACUUGGAGGUUGUGCCCUUGAGGCGUGGCUUCCGGAGCUAACGCGUUAAGUCGACCGCCUGGGGAGUACGGCCGCAAGGUUAAAACUCAAAUGAAUUGACGGGGGCCCGCACAAGCGGUGGAGCAUGUGGUUUAAUUCGAUGCAACGCGAAGAACCUUACCUGGUCUUGACAUCCACGGAAGUUUUCAGAGAUGAGAAUGUGCCUUCGGGAACCGUGAGACAGGUGCUGCAUGGCUGUCGUCAGCUCGUGUUGUGAAAUGUUGGGUUAAGUCCCGCAACGAGCGCAACCCUUAUCCUUUGUUGCCAGCGGUCCGGCCGGGAACUCAAAGGAGACUGCCAGUGAUAAACUGGAGGAAGGUGGGGAUGACGUCAAGUCAUCAUGGCCCUUACGACCAGGGCUACACACGUGCUACAAUGGCGCAUACAAAGAGAAGCGACCUCGCGAGAGCAAGCGGACCUCAUAAAGUGCGUCGUAGUCCGGAUUGGAGUCUGCAACUCGACUCCAUGAAGUCGGAAUCGCUAGUAAUCGUGGAUCAGAAUGCCACGGUGAAUACGUUCCCGGGCCUUGUACACACCGCCCGUCACACCAUGGGAGUGGGUUGCAAAAGAAGUAGGUAGCUUAACCUUCGGGAGGGCGCUUACCACUUUGUGAUUCAUGACUGGGGUGAAGUCGUAACAAGGUAACCGUAGGGGAACCUGCGGUUGGAUCACCUCCUUACCUUAAAGAAGC